UACGUAGGGUGCAAGCGUUUAAUCGGAAUUACUGGGCGUAAAGCGUGCGCAGGCGGUUAUGUAAGAACAGAUGUGAAAUCCCCGGGCUCAACCUGGGAACUGCAUUGUGACUGCAUAGCUAGAGUACGGUAGAGGGGGAUGGAAUUCCGCGUGUAGCAGUGAAAUGCGUAGAUAUCGGGAGGAACACCAGUGGCGAAGGCGGCUUCCUGGCCUGUUCUUGACGCUGAGGCGCGAAAGCUAGGGUAGCAAACGGGGAUUAAGAUGACCCGUGAGUCC
rnacentral:rRNA from 1 species